rnacentral:lncRNA from 1 species
AUGCCACCCAAGGACAAGAAGAAGAAGAAAGACGCUGGAAAGUUGGCCAGGAAAGACAAAGACCCAGUGAGCAAAUCCGGGGACAAGGCCAAAAAGAAGAAGUGCUCCAAAGACAUAGUUCGGGACAAGCCCAAUAACUUAGUUUUGUUUGACAAAACUACCUAAGACAAACCCUGUAAGGAAGUUCCCAACUGUAAACUUAUAACCCCAGCUAUGGUGUCUGAGAGACUGAAGAUUUGAGUCUCCCUGGCCAGGGCAGCCUUCAGGAGCUCCUUAGCAAAGGACUCAUCAAACUGGUUUCAAAGCAGAGUUCAAGUAAUUUAUACCAGAAAUACCAAGGGUGGAGAUGCACCAGCUGCUGGUGAAGACGCAUGA